UACAGAGGGUGCAAGCGUUGUUCGGAAUUAUUGGGCGUAAAGGGCGCGUAGGCGGUGCGGUAAGUCUGUAGUGAAAUCUCUGGGCUCAACUCAGAGUCUGCUAUAGAAACUGCCGUGCUUGAGUGUGGGAGAGGUGAGUGGAAUUCCCGGUGUAGCGGUGAAAUUCGUAGAUAUUGGGAAGAACACCGGUGGCGAAGGCGGCUCACUGGCUCGUAACUGACGCUCAUGCACGACAGCGUGGGGAUCAAACAGG
rnacentral:rRNA from 1 species